GUCUUAAAAUAGGAAAUGAAUACAAGAUAAGCCGGGGUUACCUGUGGUGGAUGUUUGAGGAUCGAUUUCGAGAACUAGGCAGAAGAAAUGAAAUGUUGCUUUACUUGGGGUGAAAAGUAUUCUCAUUAUUGUCUAUUAGCAUUUGUUUACAUCACACAGAAAAAAAAAAUUGUGUAAUUGUGACUCAUGAAUCCGGAAGUCUUUAUCUAGUGUAUGACUAUCAAAUAGCCAAUUAUCAUAUCUUAAUUUUAAGGUAACUGUGCGCGUCUUUUAUGCGCAUUGGAGAGUCAUCUUGUAGCGGUGGCGAGGAUGGAAGCGUGGCUACAUUCUUUGAUGCAUGAUCAAAAGAAGACAAGGUCUAACCGCGGUCAACCGGAAAUGGACCACAUUCUUGACCCGUGACGUCACGCGCCCCUCACGACCUGACGCGCACAGCCGCACACCUGGUCACCUGCACACAGUUUAUUGCCUCACAGUGUACGCACAUGGACAGAAGAAAGUGAGGAUAUAACCUACCGUAUCUACAGUAAUGCCUAAUUGCUGUGCAGUGUAUGGGUGCUAUUCAAAUUAUAGAAACAAUAAUGGAAUCACCUUCCACAGAUUUCCAAAGAAUGACGAGGUAAAGAAGAAAAUGAUUACUCUGUGUAAAAGACAAGACCCAAUCAAUGGAAACAGAGCAGUGAUAUGUAACUUACAUUUCGAGCCAAAUGCAUAUGAAUGAAAUCUUAAGUAUGAGCUCCUUAAUCUGCCUUUUCCAAAACACCUUGUAAGGAUAAAAGAAGCUGCAUUACCAACACAAGUUGCUGAUGUGUGUGGGGAAAGAGAGGCAAGAGUUGUGAGAAGAGGACAGAAACGACUAAUACAAGACAUUUUAGAAGCACAAGUUGAGGUCCCAGAGGGAGAUGCUACAGAAGAGGAGAAACUACAUCCAUCUGUUGAGGAUUUGCAACGCCAGGUUGAUGACUGCAAAGAAGAGAGGGGAGUGUUGCUUGGCCAACAGCACAUGCCACUGUAACAGAAGAAGUGAGGAAAACAUUGUCUCAGUAUUUUUCUUCAUCUCAAGUCGAGUGUCUCUUAAGUGGGAAGCCAAUAAGGCAAUGGGCUGAAGACGACAUAAGCAAGGCAAUCACUCUGAAUAGAAACAUAACUUCAUCGAGAAAGGAAGUUAGCAAGAUGAAAAAAUACUAAAAUAAAAACUGUACAGUACAUUUACAAUUAAUGUAUAAAAUCUAGUGUUGUCAUAAAUAAAUAUGUAUAUAAUGCGUAUCAAUCUUCA